UGGGCGUAAGGGCUCGUAGGCGGUUCGUCGCGUCCGGUGUGAAAGUCCAUCGCUUAACGGUGGAUCCGCGCCGGGUACGGGCGGGCUUGAGUGCGGUAGGGGAGACUGGAAUUCCCGGUGUAACGGUGGAAUGUGUAGAUAUCGGGAAGAACACCAAUGGCGAAGGCAGGUCUCUGGGCCGUCACUGACGCUGAGGAGCGAAAGCGUGGGGAGCGAACAGGAUUAGAUACCC
rnacentral:rRNA from 1 species